AUGAUGCUUUCUGCUGCUUCCAGUGCCCAGGCUGUGGCUUUGGAGGACUUCCAGAGGGCACCUGAAGGAGCUUUCAUGAAUCAUUCCAGAUGGAAGAGUCACUUGUGGACUUAUGGUAACACCAUGACUUUGCGGCCAAGAAAUCCUCAGGGGUGGUUUUGCCAAUUCCUUCAUCUGAAAUAUUGCCCACAGGAUUUGGUGGCCUCCCAUUCAAGUACUAGUCAAGGAUUACCUGGCUUAGCUCUCAAGAUUAAAUAGUGCUUAUAUGCUUAUAAUUCUAAUGUUAUUUCCUCCAGUAUUUCUGCCUAUAGUUCAGUUUCCAUAAAUAUGUGGAAUGGGUUGCUUUCUGUGAGUUUUUCGGACUGUAUGGCCAUGUUCCAGUAACAUUCUCUCGCACGAAAAGAAUGCUGCUGGAACAUGGACAUAUAGCCCAAAAAACUCACAGCAACCCAGUGAUUUUGUAACCAAAUUUGAAAAAUGUUCUGUUCCUGAUUUGAAAGUGCUAUUUCCUGUUUAAUUGUAUGGUACUUACUUUGAAAGUAGUUGUUAUACUCCAGAAACUUGGGCUCAGGCUGUGGCACAGGCUGGAGAGCAGCUGCAAUGAAUCACUGCAAUGAAUCACUCUGACCAGGAGGUCAUGGGUUCGAGGCCCGCUUGGAGCCUAUGUUUGUCUUGUCUUUGUUCUAUGUUAAAAGGCAUUGAAUGUUUGCCUAUAUGUGUAAUGUGAUCUGCCCUGAGUCCCCUUCGGGGUGAGAAGGGUGGAAUAUAAAUGCUGUAAAUAAAUAAAUAAAUAAUAAACUUCAUUUUUGUGGUUGCCAUGAACUAUGUUGACUUGGUUGAGGUUCUAUGAGAUAUUCACUGGAAAACGGUAGCAAAAUGUACUGCAGGAUGUCCCACAAAUACCAUUGUUUGUAGUUUAAUAAACUUUCCCCAUGUUUUUAUGAUUGAACCAGGUAGGAAAUGACAUUUAUAACCCCGGAACAAAAGUCAUGUUACAUAGUGUUGUUUAUGACCUCAUCAUACAGGUGAGGUCCCCACCGGAAACAUCUUGAAAUGUUUUCUCACCACUUUGGGGAUCAAUGGGGCAGGGCCAAGCAGGCAUCAUGUGAAGGUGCUCAGCAAGCCCCUGUCAAGAUGCUGCAACCAGGGUUUAGCAAGAGUAGUCAAGACAGUCCACAGCUGACACUUCGGCCUCUUCCACACAGCUGAAUAAAAUCCCACAUCAUCUGCUUUGAACUGGAAUAUAUGGCAGUCUGGACUCAAUAACCCAGGUCAAAGCAAAUAUUGUGGGAUUUUCUGCCUUAAUAUACUGGGUUAUAUGGCUGUAUGGAAGUGCCCAGAGAUAGCACUUUCAGAGUUCUAAUUCAAGUUCAAAUCAAGUAGCAGGCACAAGGAGUAUUCCAAAAGUCCGGUCCAAAGCCAAACACACAAGCAGCUCAUCAAUAUCCAUGGUACAAAAUACAAAGUCCAAGGGGCAAAGUCACCAGCUGAAACACCCAAAACAACUAUUACUUCCAGCAAGGUACUGUUGCCAACAUUAAUCUUUUAUGCUGCCUCUGAAAAAGUCCUAUAGCUCCUCUUUUGGGAAAAUCUUUUGGAUUUCCUGUAUAGAUCAAAUUAGGAACAGAGUCUUUUUUAUCCAACAUAAAUGGGCCAGCAGAAUGUUGGAUAAGCAAAAUGUUGGAUUAUAAGGAGGGAUUAAGAAAAAACCUAUUAAACUUCAAAUUACAUUAUGAUUUUACAAAUUAAGCACCAAAACAUCAUGUUUUACUACAAAUGGUCAGAAAAUGCAGUUCAAUACAUGGUAACAUUAUGUAGUGAUUAAUGCAUUUAUGAAUUUAGCACCAAAACAUCGCAAUAUAUUGAAAACAUUGACUACAAAAACAUUGAUUACUAAAAGGCAGAUUGUGUUGGAUAAUACAGAACGUUGGAUGAGUGAAGGUUGGAUAAGUGAGACUCUACUGCACUAACAAAUAAAUCCACAAAGGAUCAGUUUUUUCAAAAUCUGGGAAUGAAAUUAUGUAUGCAAAUGCCAAUGAUGAAAGAUUUCCUGCACUUCAUUCCCUGGCUCCCCUGUCUUUACUUUAGUGACAACCUGCUUCCAAGCUGAAGGAAACAGACCAAUAGUUGUAUGGUGACAAUUUUCUAGUGAAAUUGCAAAAUAAUGCUGGAUUCAAUUUGUGCAAAUUGCCACACACUUUAGUAGCUGUUGAGCUGUUGAAACAAUAUUUACAGUUUUAUUUAUUGUAAUUUAAGAACUGUGAGGAAUGUUUGCCAGUAUUACACCCCCCCCCCCAAAAAAAACACAAAAAAUUCAAAGAUGCAAUUGAUACCUAGCUUUACAAUGUACAUAAGUCUCUAGAGAGAUUUUUCGAAUCUGUUUUAAAUUACGGACUUGGGAAAAAACAAAUAAAAAAGAAUAAAAGGUAGUUGUUGAAAGUUAAAUUGUCUUCAACUCAUAUCUGUAAACCAGAUUCUCAUUUUUAUUUAACUGUUGCCUUUUCAUUCAGAAACUCAUUUCUUUACCAAAUCUGUUUUGCUUUCUCUCUCCCUUUCAAUCUUUCUUUAAAUAAAAGAGACAUUUUGUUUCUCCAUCCUCCCCUCCCAUUGUUGCAGCUGCUUCUCCUGAUGGUGUUCUCCUCCUGCUUGCCAGGGAAAUGUUUCCCAUCUAUUUGCAUUGCAUUUUAUUGAUAUUAUCCUUCUCUUCAUCCAUCCAUGAACUUUGAAAAUCUUAACAAAGAACCUAACAGGAAUUGCCCACAUCAAUGUAUGUAUAUUAUCCCAUCAUUUAAAUUUCUAGAAAUACAAACUAAUUUAAUAUCCGUUUCUUCUUUCACUCUCUGCUAGGAGAAAAAGAAAUAUGAGAGUUGUGAGCAAAAUUCAUUAUUUAUAAGCAGCCAGGCUUUGAAGCUGCAAGGCUAUUCAAUGCUUAUCAAGGUGGCUAAUUAAAAACAUUCACACUUGCUUCAAACAAACAAGAGUUCUUUCUCCCACCCUAGACAUCAUUCCACAGAUAUAUAAACCCCACUUGCCUAGUUUCUAACAGACCUCACAACCUCUGAGGAUGUGGGUAAAACGUCAGGAGAUAAUGCUUCUGGAAUAUGGCUAUACAGCCCAGAAAACUCACAGCAACCCAAUUCCUUCCUUCAUUGGUUCCUUCCUUUUUUCGUUCCGUCCUUCCUUGAUAACAUACCUGCUAGCUUUCCAUAGAUAAAAA
rnacentral:lncRNA from 1 species